rnacentral:rRNA from 1 species
UACGUAGGCAGCGAGCGUUGUUCGGAGUUACUGGGCGUAAAAGGGUGCGUAGGCGGUUGUUUAAGUUUGGUGUGAAAUCUCCCGGCUCAACUGGGAGGGUGCGCCGAAUACUGAAUGACUAGAGUGCGGGAGAGGAGAGUGGAAUUCCUGGUGUAGCGGUGAAAUGCGUAGAUAUCAGGAGGAACACCGGUGGUGUAGACGGCUCUCUGGACCGUAACUGACGCUGAGGCACGAAAGCGUGGGUAGCAAACAGG